AUUGAACGCUGGCGGCAGGCCUAACACAUGCAAGUCGAACGAGUGGCGGACGGGUGAGUAAUGUCUGGGAAACUGCCUGAUGGAGGGGGAUAACUACUGGAAACGGUAGCUAAUACCGCAUACCAUCGGAUGUGCCCAGAUGGGAUUAGCUGGUAGGUGAGGUAAAGGCUCACCUAGGUGACGAUCCCUAGCUGGUCUGAGAGGAUGACGAGCAACACGGGAAUGGAGCCAAGUGCCCGCAUCCUCCGGGAGGCAGAAGUGGGGAAUAUUGCACAAUGGGCGAAAGCCUGAUGCAGCCAUGCCGCGUGUAUGAAGAAGGCCUUCGGGUUGUAAAGUACUUUCAGCGGGGCGGCGUUACCCGCAGAAGAAGCACCGGCUAACUCCGUGCCAGCAGCCGCGGUAAUUC
rnacentral:rRNA from 1 species